GACGUGAUGACGACACAGUUCACCUAAAAACUCUUCCCUUUCGUUUAUUACGUCCUCUUGGAGUUGGUGCCAUAUUAGAAAGGGCCAUCUCCACGACAUGCGAGCGAAGUGGAGAAAGAAGCGUAUGCGCAGGCUGAAGCGCAAAAGGAGAAAGAUGAGGCAGAGGUCCAAGUAAAGUGACCCCUCUGGUGCAGCUGUGGUGUGCCCACCCCCCACUUCCUGCUCUUUGUGCGGCUUGGGAUGACCUGAGAGAUGACCUUCCAGCAGCAGUCAUCCAGGAUGGUGAACUACGGGACUUUCUACCACCACACCACACCACUCCACUCCACUCACCCUCCCUUGCUGAUGGUGUUUCCAAAGAGCCUAUGAAGAAGCUGGAUGCUGUGCCAAUUGCUUUGGCAUAAUGGACUCUCAACACCUACCCCUCACAGCUGCUUUGUUUGAAACAUCUGAAUAA